UGCUUGGAGGGCAGGGGCUGUGUCAUGAAUCUUUGUGUCUCCCUAGCUCAGUGCCUUGGCCCUAGAGAUGGUAUGAAAUAAAUAUCUCCAGGGUUAAAUUUGGCACCAGAGUGUGUAUAAUUUGCAUCAUAAACACUUCUGAUCAGGAAGCAGAUGAAUAUUUAUCAGCCAAAGGAUCCUCUUGGAAAGAAGGCUGUACAGGUUAGAGAAGAGAUCUAAAAUCUAAAUGGGUCAGUGCAUUUCCAUGUUUAUUGAGUCUCCACCACAUGCUAGAUACCAUAAUAGUUUGUAUGAGGAAUUUACAAAUAUACUCAUAAAUUUAGUGCCAGUUAAUGGGCCAACAGCACUAUGAAAUCUAACUUAUUUCCUAUAUUUCAAAAAAUAAGGAGAGUGAGAGGAGGAUUCUUUCUUGACAGGAAAGGACUCUGCCUCCUCUCUCAUCCCCCCUCCACACACACAGGGGAAAAGGAAAAUAACAUUUGUUCUGCCUCACUAAUGCUCAACUCCAAUUCAAAUCUUUUAUCAGAAAUACUUGAGAGGCCGAUUAAUAAUCAGAGAGCUUAAUAAUUUGAGAAAAGAAAGGCCCUAAAAUAAUUUAUACUACUAAAAGUAAUACCACUUACCCAGAUGCCUUAAACCCACUUUCAUGGGUAUAAAGGAUAUGAACUGUUAUAUUGCUGACUAAUAGGUAAUUAUAAAAUAUUAGAGGCAUAAAGUGUAACAAUACUUUAUCAACCACAAAAGCACUUAAUGCUGAUACUUUUAACUGACAAUUGGCUUUGUUCAACCGUAAAUGACACAUGCAAUUAGAGCACUGUUUAAAAGAGUACUUUGUUUAUAGUUUUCCUUUCCUUUAUAUUACUGUGACUUUUUUCAACAUAUGUUGCUUUGUUUUUCUUCCUCUUGCCUCUCCCUUCAGAGGCUUAAGUGCAGUAUUUCCACUCCUCCCGAAUGUAAGGGAAAGGAACAUAAUCUCUGAUAAGGAGGAGGACAGUUUUGUUUUUUAAAGAGAACCAUUUUUUUAAAACUUACUUUCAAAUUACAGCUGACAUAUAACAUAAUCGUUUCAGGUAUAUAACAUAGUGAUUAGACAUUUCUAUACUUUACGAAGUGAUCACUCCCAUAAGUCUAGUACCUACCUGGCACCAAAUGUAGUUAUUACAAUAUUACUGGCUAUAUUUCCCUAUGCUGUACGUCCCCAUGACUAUUUUUAUAACUGGCAAUCUGUACCUCUUGAUCUCUUUCAUCUUUUCCCACUCCAACCAAGCAGGGGAGUUUCUUGCUUCUCAAUCUGGAAACUACAGUAAAAUCCUGCCACAUAUGCUGAGGGUGACGCACAGGACAAAUACAGACAAUGGUACUGAGCCUGUGCACUGGGAUGUCACGGGCUCUCAGGGCUCUCACCGUGCCCACCGAGUUCUCCUAUAGACCAGGUACGGGUGGGUGAAUGCUGUGACUGUGGAAGAGGGCAAGGUCAAGGGAUUCACUCCUUUUGUGUUUCAAACCACUGGGAUAUAUGGCUAAGGACAAUGUAAGCGCUACACAGAGUAAAUCCUCUAGAAUUUCUGUUCCCAUGUUAAGAAACACACAAGCAACAAAAUUACAUAACCACAUAAUAGUGUUCUUAUUAUGGAUCUUAUUGGGAAUUCUUAAUAGGAUUGGAAACACCCACAGUGGACAUUAAUAUGUAUAAUUACCCUUCAUGGUACAUCCAGCUAUUUUAAAAAUUUGUUCUUUCCAAAAUGAAAGGAUUCAGAGAGCUGAACUCCAAGAUUUCCUCUUGGUUCAGACCUAAAUGAAUAGUAAUAAUAUACUGCCAAAAAAUACAGCAUGAUAAAUACUACUUCUGUGAGGUGAUAAACUUCAAGUCUGUUCGAUAGCUGGUCCUCUCAUACUAAGCCCAGUGACAUGUUAUGGCUAUGAUGCUUUCCUUUUGAAAUCAUCAGAUUAUUCUAUGUACAUGUACCUAUAGGCCACUUCUAAAUUGCAGAGUGUCAUGUAAACUUUUGGAAUUUUAUAAAACUCCUUCAUGCAGCUGCCCAAUGAGUAGUGUGUCCUAUUUUCAAACACAGUAUUUUAUAUGAUUGAGGUAGUCAGAGAAACAAAGUAGUGUUUUCAGGGGAUAGUUGAGUUUUAUAUUUUUAAUCUUUCAUCUUAGCAACUAUGUACGUUUUCUAGGUCCUCAUCUACUCUUGGUUAUCCCCCAGGAGUUAUUCAUUAAUGAUCAUUAAAUAUUUUAGACUUUUUAUUUAAAAAGUUAAAAAUUCUAAAUGAGCCCAUUUAGACAGUCCACAAAUAAAUGAAUGGAAUCAAGUUUCAAGUAAAUGACACUCAUUAAGUUGAUGACUUUGUAUAAAAUAACUAUUAUUUUCGAAUAUUGUAUUGCUAUAAUAUCAAUAUUACAGUAUUCUAAGCUAGAAAUUUACCUUUGGUUCUAAGGCCAGUUAAACAUCUGUACCUGUACUUAGCGACAUGUUGCCUAUAAAAGUCAAUCUGUCAGCAAGCCUGCUGGAUGGAAAGUCUUCUCAAACCUAUAAGAGACUGGUCCAAAGAAACAGGCAGAGUAGCUACCCUUUUAAGUAGGAAUGAGAUAAACAGAAUUAAUGAAGCACCGUGGAGAAUUUAAAACUGGAACAGCAUUUCUUACAAACAAUCUGACUCAUAACAGAAAAUUACCAUUAGGGAGUUUAUCUAAAGUAACUAAGAACUUAACUGGACUUUAGGGGACUCAUGAGAAAGAACACAAGUGCAUUUUGGCCAAGCAGAGGAAAAAACAGAGCCUUCAUCCAAUUUGCUUAAAAGAACAAUACUAUAAAAGCAUAACAGUCUCUGUAUCCUAGAAUAUAUUUCAGCUGUCUAUCCUCAGCAGUUAACACAGAACCCCAACUAUGGUAAGUAUAUAGUAUAUUUUUGUUAAAUGAAUAUCUUAUUAGUCCCAGAAAGGAGAUUACAACAAAUUCAGUACUCUUAAAGAUUAUCUGUUAAAAGGAAUUAUCUCAGUCUCUGAAUCCUUGGGCAAUAACAAGCUAAAGCAGUGGGUCUCACUGUUGCAAUUUUGUACCGUUAGGGGACAUUUGGCAAUGUCUAGAGGCAGUUUGGAUUGUCACAAAUGUGUGUGUGGGAUAUUUCUGCUGGCAUCUAGUGUGCAGAGGACAAAAUGCUGAUAAACAUCCAACAAUACAAGUCCUGCAAGGCAAUGUAUUAUUCAGUCCUAAAGGACAGCAGUGCUGAAAUAACUAAAUUAAAAAAAACCAACCUGGAAUGGGAAGAACUCUGAACUUCACAAAAUUCUUUAAUCAAAGGCAGUAUAUAAUAAUGUUACGCUGUAGGUUUUAAAAAUCAAAGCCUUUGUCUUUUCUAAAAUGCUUUAAUAAUAUGGAUAUGGAGUAUCAAUAUCCCAGAGUAAAUUUAAAGGAGUUACUUAUUUUCUUUAAGAUAAAAAACUAAAUGCCUGCUUGUGAACCAGGGGGAAAUCUGCCUAAGCGUGACAGGUGGUUUUCUUAUUUGUGAUUCUGUCACUUUUUUUUCUUCACUGUUGAAAAUACUUAUAUACGGUGUUUUAAGGUAUUUUUCUGCCUAGUAUCUUAAGUGUGGCAUUAGCUUAAUUCCUGUGAAAGAAUGUAAUAUCUUCAUGGUAAAAUUAUUUGGAUUAUGCUCGCACUUUAAGGAUUCUUUUGAUAUUGUACAACUUCUGUCUCUUAAACAUAAACUGCACAGUACAGAACUCAUCCAAACAAGUACAUGAUGAGAUAGAUAAAACAUCUGCUACAAUUUUGGAUUAGAUGUGGACACAAUAAUCUAAUGUGUGUGUGUUUUCAUUUCCCAGUACGGUAUAUCUUUGAAAAUGACAAGAACCUAACUCUCCAUUUAGCUCAUUUACCUCUCCGUCUACUCUCCAAGUGCUUUUCUGUAACAUUUAGAAAUUAGUUUGGAUAACGAAUUCAGGAGUUGAGUGAAUAUUAUGUAGAGUAGAUGUUCCAAAGUGGUAAAUCCAGUACGAAAGCAUGACAUCUAGAUGAUCAUGGCUUUGAUCAUCCAGAAUGUAUGUGGACUUGCUAACUGCAAUGAAGUCUCACAAUAGUGUCUGACAGGUGAGACAUAACUUAUCAGGGCAAUUGGAAUUCAUCUUCCCAUUUCAUAAAUAUUAUCCAAACAAAUAAAAUAUGCAUUAAAGUGACUGAUUUAUUAGGAAUUACUUUACCAAAUUAAACAUGAUUACUUUUAUACACAAAACCAAAGUCAAAAGUGAGCAAAAACUCUGAAAAUGGAACUCUGCUUGAAAUCUCUAUUGAUUCUUUUAUGAAUGAAGUUACCAAAUGACCGUGAAUUUUGUUAUUUUAAUGACAGCUUAAUUGAAUUCUACUUUGGGAAGUGGUUAUGUAGCAAGAUGACACUGCUAUAAAGUAAGUGUUAGUUAUUUUUGACCUUGGUAUUUCAAGUGACAGCGGUUCUCAACCUGUGGGUCGCAAACAAUGAAAAUACAUCCUGCAUAUCAGAUAUUUACAUUACGAUUCAUAACAGUAGCAAAAUUACAGUUAUGAAGUAGCAACGAAAAUAAUUUUAUGGUUGGGAUCACCACAACAUGAGGAACUGUAUUAAAGGGUCGUGGCAUUAGGAAUCAUUUUCCUUUUUAUAUGAUUUUCCUCCUUGAUGUAAGUUACUAAACUUCUCUGCAUCUUGGCUUGCAUAAUGCCAGCAUUUUCCUCAUCAGGUUGUUGUGAAGAUGAAACAGGUUUUUAUACAUGACACAGAGCAGUGGCUGGCAAAGGGUGAGUACUCUGUACACAUGUGAUUACUAUUUUCCUUGAGUCUUUAUAAUUGGACAUUGAUUUCCCCUCCAGAUGCUAUUUUCAACAUCUCUCUGAUACCCUGUAAGUCAUGGAAAGAGUCUGUAUCUGCCCUAACACCUGGAGUCCUAAACAUUAAGGGUUGUUGAACAGUGAUUGGCUUAUAGGAGAUAGUGGGUGGUGACUUACUCUUUUUGUCAGCUGAGUAUCCAUCAUGAAGUUGUGCACGUGCUUUUCUGCUUUGACCAGCAGGUCUUCAGGCCAAUCAACUAUGAUAUACUGGGGAUGAAGAGUGAUGCAUUGUACAGCUUCCAACUGUUCUACAUAUAUAACAGAAAGGUCACACUGAUACAUUAAGUGCUGAAGGUGGCCACUGCUGAGAUCCUCUGGAAGGAAAUCAAAAUCCUAACAGGAGUGGAAAAUCACUGGUAUCAAGAGCCUUUGGAAACCUUCAAUUUGUGUUUAUUUCUGGGCUCUAUUUUUCCUGCUGCUGGCCCAUUUCUUGCUGCAUGUUCUCUAGCUCACCCAAAUCUUGUGCAAUAAAAUGAGUACCUUCAUUGCA